CCUACGUCCCCGCCCGCAACAUCCUGAUUUUACGGAUAUAGAUUCCAUCGUGUUGAUGAGUUGGUUUAUCCCGCUAAAUCCUCUUCUCCAACGCACAAUCAUUUCUUUCCAUCUUCCUAUUCGUGUUGCCCCCACAGUCUCCUCCGCCCUGCGAUACGGCCUUCACGCGAGCUAUGCGUGCCGCCAUACUCCCCUGCCGCCCCCAUGCUUGCCACAUGCCGCCGCAAUGCUCUAACUGACAGUGGAAGUAUUUCACUUAACUGCAGGUCAGCGCACCUAUGUGCAUCCUGAGGGCUACAUUUACUAGCAGCGGCGUUCUUUGGCACUGGCCGUCGGUUCCGUCGCGGUGCAACGCAUCCGCAUCCCGGCAGUACGUUGUGACCGCGGCCUUGUGCGUCCCGCUCCAGCUUCCCCGCAAACCUCAACCAAGCCUGCUCUGGCUUGACGCAUAGCCUGCAGCGGCGCAGCCUGCACACGGCGACGGAAGCGACGGCAAACCCGCAGCAGCCGGCAGUGGUUGCCUCCGGUGGGCGGCGCACGGUCCUCCUGGUCAGCGUUGCAGUCAGCAAGCGAGCCUGCAAAGUGGCGUGGUGGAGCAGUCCUCCUGAUCAUUGUGUUUUCCCUUUCUAAUAGUUCUGCAUGAAAAGUAUUGAUUUAUCUCAAAUUCAGAAUUUCUAGGUAAAUUUGGAAUCAUGUAGAUUGGCAUUAUUCAGGUUUGUCAUAUACUACUUUCAGUAAAUCUUGUUGAGCACUAAGAUUUUGUUUGUAACCAUGAUCAUUUGAGAUUCUCAUUACAUUGUUUGACGCCAUUCUCAUGGAUAUGAGUGGAAGAAGGAUUCUUCUAACGGUAUAAGAUGAAACAUUGCCGAAAUCAUGCAUACAAAGACGAAGUAUUAAGUAUGAUUUAGUUCUGAGAAUCGUUCAGGUCUACAUAUCUGGAACAUUCCCGAGCUUCCUUUUGACAUGAAUAUUAUUCUACCUAUAGGUAACAAUAUAUUUCUGAACCGUAGUGAUAGAAAAAUGAUGAUCAUGGGAGACUAGCAGGCUAUCAUAAGUUAAUGUUAAGAAGAAAAACAGUGGCAAGGAAAACUUAUUCUCUUUGUUGUUUGUGUAUGUAACCUGAAUGCUAAAUGAUAUUUUUGGCGCAGGGUCUAUUCUCAUAAUAUGUUCCCUCAUUGGCCCUUUUCGACAUCAUGAUUCACUUGGAGUAUGGUUCCAAUGAGUUUCGAAAUCAUUAUCUUCUGAAUGUUGAUCAACUAUCCGAUCUGAUGAAGAUUUUCACUUUUUGCAACCAGGAUCGAUGGGUACAAUUUAUUGUGUACUAGCAUAUCCUUUUUAUAUGUAUAUUUUCAAAAUCAGUGGGGGUUUUGGAUAGCUUUUUUUUGCAGAAUGCUAAAACUGAAGAUCAAGAUAAACCUUGUGUCCAUACUCUGCAAUCAUACAACACUAUGGUGGACAUGCAUUCUGCUUGGACGUGAUCUAAGUUAGAACCUAGCAACAUUAUCUUUUUCGGGCUGUAGGAAUUGAAUUACGGCUCCAGUUUUCUCGGUCAUUUAUAUCUUAAUGUAGCACUGGAUCCUUUGUUGUGACUGUUGACUUGCUUCUCUGGCUCAAUGUAUAUUUGACUUCUUGUAUGACCACGUGAGCCGAUGUGUGCUUCUAUUUUUGUAUAUUUACCCAUGUUUAGUCAGUUGAAUUCAUGUAUGCGUGAUGCUUUCCUGGCAACUUUUUUCAAGAAAAAUAUUCUUUGCAGGCA